GGUUAAGCGACUAAGCGUACACGGUGGAUGCCCUGGCAGUCAGAGGCGAUGAAGGACGUGCUAAUCUGCGAAAAGCGUCGGUAAGGUGAUAUGAACCGUUAUAACCGGCGAUGUCCGAAUGGGGAAACCCAGUGCAAUUCGUUGCACUAUCGUUAACUGAAUACAUAGGUUAACGAGGCGAACCGGGGGAACUGAAACAUCUAAGUACCCCGAGGAAAAGAAAUCAACCGAGAUUCCCCCAGUAGCGGCGAGCGAACGGGGAGCAGCCCAGAGUCUGAAUCAGCUUGUGUGUUAGUGGAACGGUCUGGAAAGUCCGACGGUACAGGGUGAUAGUCCCGUACACCAAAAUGCACAGGUUGUGAACUCGAAGAGUAGGGCGGGACACGUGGUAUCCUGUCUGAAUAUGGGGGGACCAUCCUCCAAGGCUAAAUACUCCUGACUGACCGAUAGUGAACCAGUACCGUGAGGGAAAGGCGAAAAGAACCCCGGCGAGGGGAGUGAAAAAGAACCUGAAACCGUGUACGUACAAGCAGUGGGAGCACCUUCGGGUGUGACUGCGUACCUUUUGUAUAAUGGGUCAGCGACUUAUAUUCUGUAGCAAGGUUAACCGUAUAGGGGAGCCGCAGGGAAACCGAGUCUUAACUGGGCGUUAAGUUGCAGGGUAUAGACCCGAAACCCGGUGAUCUAGCCAUGGGCAGGUUGAAGGUUGGGUAACACUAACUGGAGGACCGAACCGACUAAUGUUGAAAAAUUAGCGGAUGACUUGUGGCUGGGGGUGAAAGGCCAAUCAAACCGGGAGAUAGCUGGUUCUCCCCGAAAGCUAUUUAGGUAGCGCCUCGUGAACUCAUCUUCGGGGGUAGAGCACUGUUUCGGCUAGGGGGUCAUCCCGACUUACCAACCCGAUGCAAACUACGAAUACCGAAGAAUGUUAUCACGGGAGACACACGGCGGGUGCUAACGUCCGUCGUGAAGAGGGAAACAACCCAGACCGCCAGCUAAGGUCCCAAAGUCAUGGUUAAGUGGGAAACGAUGUGGGAAGGCACAGACAGCCAGGAUGUUGGCUUAGAAGCAGCCAUCAUUUAAAGAAAGCGUAAUAGCUCACUGGUCGAGUCGGCCUGCGCGGAAGAUGUAACGGGGCUAAACCAUGCACCGAAGCUGCGGCAGCGACACUAUGUGUUGUUGGGUAGGGGAGCGUUCUGUAAGCCUGCGAAGGUGUGCUGUGAGGCAUGCUGGAGGUAUCAGAAGUGCGAAUGCUGACAUAAGUAACGAUAAAGCGGGUGAAAAGCCCGCUCGCCGGAAGACCAAGGGUUCCUGUCCAACGUUAAUCGGGGCAGGGUGAGUCGACCCCUAAGGCGAGGCCGAAAGGCGUAGUCGAUGGGAAACAGGUUAAUAUUCCUGUACUUGGUGUUACUGCGAAGGGGGGACGGAGAAGGCUAUGUUAGCCGGGCGACGGUUGUCCCGGUUUAAGCAUGUAGGCUGGUUAUCCAGGCAAAUCCGGAUAAUCAAGGCUGAGGUGUGAUGACGAGGCACUACGGUGCUGAAGUAACAAAUGCCCUGCUUCCAGGAAAAGCCUCUAAGCAUCAGGUAACAUCAAAUCGUACCCCAAACCGACACAGGUGGUCAGGUAGAGAAUACCAAGGCGCUUGAGAGAACUCGGGUGAAGGAACUAGGCAAAAUGGUGCCGUAACUUCGGGAGAAGGCACGCUGGUGUGUAGGUGAAGUCCCUGCGGAUGGAGCUGAGACCAGUCGAAGAUACCAGCUGGCUGCAACUGUUUAUUAAAAACACAGCACUGUGCAAACACGAAAGUGGACGUAUACGGUGUGACGCCUGCCCGGUGCCGGAAGGUUAAUUGAUGGGGUUAUCCGUAAGGAGAAGCUCUUGAUCGAAGCCCCGGUAAACGGCGGCCGUAACUAUAACGGUCCUAAGGUAGCGAAAUUCCUUGUCGGGUAAGUUCCGACCUGCACGAAUGGCGUAAUGAUGGCCAGGCUGUCUCCACCCGAGACUCAGUGAAAUUGAACUCGCUGUGAAGAUGCAGUGUACCCGCGGCAAGACGGAAAGACCCCGUGAACCUUUACUAUAGCUUGACACUGAACAUUGAGCCUUGAUGUGUAGGAUAGGUGGGAGGCUUUGAAGCGUGGACGCCAGUCUGCGUGGAGCCAACCUUGAAAUACCACCCUUUAAUGUUUGAUGUUCUAACGUUGGCCCCUGACCGGGGUUGCGGACAGUGUCUGGUGGGUAGUUUGACUGGGGCGGUCUCCUCCCAAAGCGUAACGGAGGAGCACGAAGGUUAGCUAAUCCUGGUCGGACAUCAGGAGGUUAGUGCAAUGGCAUAAGCUAGCUUGACUGCGAGCGUGACGGCGCGAGCAGGUGCGAAAGCAGGUCAUAGUGAUCCGGUGGUUCUGAAUGGAAGGGCCAUCGCUCAACGGAUAAAAGGUACUCCGGGGAUAACAGGCUGAUACCGCCCAAGAGUUCAUAUCGACGGCGGUGUUUGGCACCUCGAUGUCGGCUCAUCACAUCCUGGGGCUGAAGUAGGUCCCAAGGGUAUGGCUGUUCGCCAUUUAAAGUGGUACGCGAGCUGGGUUUAGAACGUCGUGAGACAGUUCGGUCCCUAUCUGCCGUGGGCGCUGGAGAAUUGAGGGGGGCUGCUCCUAGUACGAGAGGACCGGAGUGGACGCAUCACUGGUGUUCGGGUUGUCAUGCCAAUGGCACUGCCCGGUAGCUAAAUGCGGAAGAGAUAAGUGCUGAAAGCAUCUAAGCACGAAACUUGCCCCGAGAUGAGUUCUCCCUGAGACUAUAAGUCUCCUGAAGGAACGUU
rnacentral:rRNA from 1 species